AACUAAAAAAUUAUCGUUGCAAUGAACUUAAAUUUAACAAAAUAUUUUUAAUAUAUGUAAAAACAAUGUAAAAUAUAAAAUUAUAGAUAUUGUAAUGCCUAAAUUUUGCCCGGGUACAAAUAAUAAAAGGGCCCCAAAUAAAGACACAGUCCAAUUACAACAAAAUGGGACCCAAACCAAAAUAAAACACAGGCCCAAUUUGCGGUGGCCCAAAAUCGUCAGAAACUCUAGGGUUUCUAAUCUUCAACAGCGCCGCAACUCCAAUCUCCCAUGUAGGCCGAAUCUCCAUGGAUCUUCAUCUGCAUAGCAAGAAACAUGAAAAAAGGAAAGAAAUCAAAGAUUUCGAAUCAAGAGCGAUUAGUUUCUUUAUUUUUAUUUUAUUAUGGCUAUAAGAAGCCAUUAAACAUACUGUAAAAAAAGGGGAUUUUUUUCGGAGAAAUCAAUAAAAAAACGCAUAUUACAGCAAUAUCGAUCAACGAAAAACAAAAUAAAGAAAAGGUAGCGAUUUAUUUUCUUUGUUUCUGUUCGUCGAUUCGAUUUAUUUACUUGUUUAUACGGAAGGUAAAGGGAAAAGGAAGAAGGAAUUACCUUGGCCUUCAGAUCCGCGGGAAAAGGAGCCGAAAAACCCCUUUAGGGUGAGGUUCUGACCAUCGUUCACGGUGGGAGCACGGCGGAGGUUAGGCGGCGGCAAGGCUAGAAAUGAAACCCUAGCAGAGGAGCAUCAAA
rnacentral:lncRNA from 1 species